CAAAAUUGCCUACCCUACCUUUAAUUAAUGUCUUAAAAUAUCAAAUUGCCAAGUAUUGCAAAUCUGUGAUGCGAGCUGGGGAACCUCAGAGAAAGCUCUUACCAAUGAGAGUUGAGCGGCCAUCACCCAGAGGGUACCGCUGGUAACGGGAAACAGGAAAAGGGGGCAGGUGGGUGAGAACUGGGUGCAGCAAAGGUUCCAGACGUGAGGCAGAGGGGUCCGAAGGGUAGAACAUAUUAAAAAUCUGAGAACAAGCUGGCCGGAGCUGAGCCACUAAUAAAGAUGGAAGAGAGUAACCAUUCAUCAGGUAACACAGUUCUUCUCAUGGCUAGCACCAGACCCAGUGGGCAUCCCAGCAGAAAGCAGUCUGACACUUCAAACUCAAAGCAGCCUGGAUUGAGGGCCUGCCUGGAGCCACACUGAUCAUCCUGAGACAAACUGUGAGGCAACACUUAAUUAAUGAUUAAUCCGAAUUAAUGAUUUAAUUUUAUGCUGAUGUCAUCAUGUGCUCCCAUGACCAGUCUGUUAAGACUUUAGAACCAAGCAAGAUCUUUAUCCUUGACACAUUCCAUUGCAAACAUCCAUUUCAGGAUAAUUUCUUUAACAUGGAGGCUUUCUUUAGAACCUAAAAAUCCAAACCAAUUUAUCUGAAUCUUAUCAAUUACAAAUCAAUUACGUUCAACACAACAUUUUGUUUGUUUGUUUGUUUGGCUCCCAACUGUUACUCUCAUGACUGUGAUAUACUACAGUGAUUUUUUUCUGCAUUCUUUUUAUUUCAGACAACAGUUUAUCUGUAAACUGAACAAUGCAACUGAAUGAGUCAUUAGCAUUCAAAACAUUCCAAGCAUGCUUUGAUACACUAUCUAAGUGUAUUUAUACAAUGCUGUAGAAAAAUGUAUGAUCUGCAUAAAACUGUCUCAAUGUUUAUUCUGUCUCAUGUUUAUUACUGGCUUAUUCUUUUUUGAAUUUUGUAACUUUUAAAAAAAUAAAUAUGUAAUAUAAUGAAGUGUUUCUAUAAAAAUGUAAAUGAGACUUUUGACACAAGUCUUUGAAAUGAUUUCUGUGAUUUUAUUAAACAGGAUGGAAUGUUUUAAAGUGAGACAAACCAACUAAAUCCACAAGAAAGAAAAAAAAAUCAGAAUUCAUCAUGUUUGUGCAGUUUUUCCAUACAUCAAUUUCUGCAGAAUUAUUAAAAUCAUUAAAACCCUGGUAUUUGCUAGUUAAAGGUGGGGUAUGUAUUUUUUCAACAACAUUGUUUGAAAGUUAGUCGGGCUGACACCAACAACAAACGUCUAAACAAUCAGCAUUAGGGGCCGUAUGACGGUCGAGGAGACAGAAUGAGCAAGAGGGAAAUUUGAAGAAGAAAAAAAAACAACGCAGAAAGAGAGAUAAUAAGACACAAUACAAAACAGCUCAAAAGAAUAUCACUGGAAUGAAGAUUAUGACUGGGCAAGCACUUUAGGACCAGUGUUAAUAUUAGAAAAGCUUUCCAGCCCUGGAGAGAGCUAAGCAGGAAGGCCUGAAAACAGACGUGGAGGCUGCUUUGAUUCCGCUUUGAUUUUCCAUGUGAGUAAAAUUGGGUUUGAGUGUCAUUGAUUGUCUGGGGCUGCUGUGCUGUUGGCGAAUAACAACAAACACUUGUUUGUAUUUACUCUUAUAACGGAUGUCUAAAUAUGGUCAUGGGACACCGUUGUUUAAGCGGAACUAAUUAUGGUGGAAAUGUUUUACCGGGAGCCAUAAACAGACGCACAUUGCACACAAUAGACAAAGGGGUUUCACUUGUUGUCGCGAUUAGCACACAACCGAAGCUAAAGGGAAUGUGAAGCACAAAUUGAAGAGUCCUGAUGUUUUCUUUGAAUCCUCCCUUCUCUAUGCAGUUUAUGAGGGAGAAGGCAUCAGCACACACAGGCGGGCAGGGUACCAGUCUGACCAGCAUGCUGUCUGCUGCUGCUUGGAAGUGCGCCCGAGCCACACGCUCCAACACGGACGCCAGAGUGGCAGCAUCACCCGCCUUCCCUCCAGGGUCGCCACC